rnacentral:rRNA from 1 species
UUAGUUUUAUCGGGGACCACUGGGUUGGU